rnacentral:rRNA from 1 species
GAUGAACGCUGGCGGCGUGCCUAAUACAUGCAAGUCGAGCGAACGGACGAGAAGCUUGCUGCUCUGAUGUUAGCGGCGGACGGGUGAGUAACACGUGGAUAACCUACCUAUAAGACGGGGAUAACUUCGGGAAACCGGAGCUAAUACCGGAUAAUAUUUUGAACCGCAUGGUUCAAAAGUGAAAGACGGUCUUGCGGUCACUUAUAGAUGGAUCCGCGCUGCAUUAGCUAGUUGGUAAGGUAACGGCUUACCAAGGCAACGAUGCAUAGCCGAACUGAGAGACUGAUCGCCCACACUGGAACUUGGACACGGUCAAGACGCCUACGGGAGGCCGCAGUAGGGAAUCUUCCGCAAUGGGCGAAAGCCUGACGGAGCAACGCCGCGUGAGUGAUGACGGUCUUCGGAUCGUAAAACUCUGUUAUUAGGGAAGAACAUAUGUGUAAGUAACUGUGCACAUCUUGACGGUAACUAAUCAGAAAGCAACGGCUAACUACGUG